ACAUGUUAAAUUUGAGCCAAAACUAGGGUAACCCUGACUUCUGAGUGUCUGUUGGCAGCAACGUCACUAACCUGUCUAACAUCGGAGGAAAGGAAAGACAUUGUGUGGUGAAACAUGUCUCACCUCAGUAGGAGGAAAUCAAACACGAGCGCGUCAAAGCUGUUGGGGGACUCCAGAGAUGGUGGAUUCAAGCUGUAUUGAAGGAAAGCAGUGCUGCUGGGUAAAACAAUCACAUUGCUGCAGUGUUUUACAAGAUGAAGCUCAACAUCCCUGUGUGUGUCUGUGGCCAGGCUUUGUGGAGGGAAAUGAGGUUAAUCGGGUUCUCUGCUUUGCGUUUGAGUUUGAGUAGAGAAGAGGAAGUCGGCCCUUGAAAUUUGCUUCUGGUGUUCCAGCUUGAGACAGGUCCCCAAGACACUGUACAAAGAGGAUUUCCUUCUGCUGGCAGGUAGAAGAGGUGACAGACACUCCAUUGUGAAGGCUUUUUUCAAAGAAUGACUGGCAAAGGAAUUAGACAUGAGAAGUCAGUACUGUGAUAUGAAGGAAAGCCCAUGAGAUAGACUGGAGUUGAUUCCUUUAAAACAUUACUCACUACUACCAGGAAAGCAGAACAAAUGGGAUGUGGCAGCUUCACAAGGCACGAUGACCAUGUUGUCCACAUGGUAUUCUGAAGGAAAGAGAAACAUUUGUCUGUCACAGAAAGUGACUCUUGCCCGACAAACAGGGUGAAAUCUAGGCAAUGAUUAGGCAGCGUCACAGGGUAUGGUAGCUUCCUACAGUCUGGAACACUAUGUCAUCCUGCACUCUACGGGAAUGUAGCAACUUAAAAAAUGGUGUUUAUCUGGUUUCCUCUGGUGUAUUGCAAAGGGCAUUUUUGCAGAAGCAUUCCUGUUCCUGGUUUAUUCUCUGUUGUAUGCAGUUAGUUGUAGCCAUGUCAGUCUUAGGAUAUUAGAGAGACAAGGUGGGUGAGGUAUUGGUCCGAAGGUGGUCGAAUAAAAGGUAUUACCUCACUCACCUUCUUUGUCCCUGCUGUAUUCAGUCACUCUGCACAUACCAUUCUAGGACAGACAACUGAAAGCUUUUACUCUGAGGGCUUAUUCUUCUCUCUUCCUUCUUGUUUUGCUUGACGUUCCUAUUUCCACCUUCCAUUCUAUUCUAGCUUUUUUUUCUUUUGGAAGUUCUUUUAUGCAUGAUCCUGGAACUAUGCACACUACUUGUUUCUUUCUUAGUUCACUGGAAAAUGCCAUUUGCCAAAUUCAUCUGUGUGGUCUACCUUCAUUGGAGGUCUAGGAUGCUACUCCACUAAACAACCAGAAGAACUGUUUCAAAAUAGAACUCUUCUAGCU